rnacentral:rRNA from 1 species
GACGAACGCUGGCGGCGUGCUUAACACAUGCAAGUCGAACGGAAAGGCCCUGCUUGCAGGGUACUCGAGUGGCGAACGGGUGAGUAACACGUGGGUGAUCUGCCCUGCACUUCGGGAUAAGCCUGGGAAACUGGGUCUAAUACCGGAUAUGACCUUCCAUGUAGUGUGGGGGGUGGAAAGAUUUAUCGGUGUGGGAUGAGCCCGCGGCCUAUCAGCUUGUUGGUGGGUAAUGGCCUACCAAGGCGUCGACGGGUAGCCGGCCUGAGAGGGUGGACGGCCACAUUGGGACUGAGAUACGGCCCAGACUCCUACGGGAGGCAGCAGUGGGGAAUAUUGCACAAUGGGCGGAAGCCUUAUGCAGCGACGCCGCGUGGGGGAUGACGGCCUUCGGGUUGUAAACCUCUUUCGACAGGGACGAAGCUUCGGUGACGGUACCUGUAUAAGAAGCACCGGCUAACUACGUG